rnacentral:rRNA from 1 species
CCUACGGGUGGCAGCAGUGAGGAAUAUUGGUCAAUGGGCGAGAGCCUGAACCAGCCAAGUCGCGUGAAGGAUGAAGGAUCUAUGGUUUGUAAACUUCUUUUAUAUGGGAAUAAAGUGAGGUACGUGUUCCUUUUUGUAUGUACCAUAUGAAUAAGCAUCGGCUAACUCCGUGCCAGCAGCCGCGGUAAUACGGAGGAUGCGAGCGUUAGCCGGAUUUAUUGGGUUUAAAGGGUGCGUAGGUGGUUAAUUAAGUCAGCGGUGAAAGUUUGUGGCUCAACCAUCAAAUUGCCGUUGAAACUGGUUGACUUGAGUACAGUAGAGGUAGGCGGAAUUCGUGGUGUAGCGGUGAAAUGCUUAGAUAUCACGAAGAACUCCGAUUGCGAAGGCAGUUCACUGGACUGCAACUGACACUGAGGCACGAAAGUGUGGGUAUCAAACAGGAUUAGAUACCCGGGUAGUC